UUGCAUAUGGUGUAUCCAUGUCAUCUCCUGCCCAUGAGGUGCUUAUCUAAUUAUUGUAUGCAAUAUUAUCAUGGAGUAAUCAGGGCCGCAAGUCUUAAAGAACUAGACUUCAUGGUAGUAUAAAACUCUUACACAU
rnacentral:snoRNA from 1 species